UUACCUUUUCCUUAAAAGAUAAUGAGGUGGGAUGAGGUGAGGACAUAGAUCGAAACUGGAAGAGAAAACAGAAAAUCAGGCACCCAGCUUUAUUGCUACAAAUGUCCACAGUGGGUGCGUAGGUCUAGUUUUGAACCUAGAUGGGCUGGUGUUGGCUUAGCAGUGUUUAUCCUGUCAGGCAUAACUAUCUCAUACAGCUGGUGUAAGGUCUACCACUGCCUCUGUACUCGGAAAAGCCUUGCUGACUUACCUCCCUUGAAUUGUACAUUGAAACCCAUCCUAAUUCUCAUGAUUUUGCUCAUCUUACUGAGGGAAACUGGUUUGUCACUAGUUUACUGAGUGCCUGCUUUCUGCCUGCUUUGUUCCCACAUCUAGGUAUCAGAAGAUACCCAAAGAGAAGCAGCCCGGUUCUCAUAAUAUGUUAUAGCAUACAGAGAGAGAAAGCUAAGAAUUCUACUCUUGCAAAUAAUCCUGGAUGUAAUGUGACAGUCACCAUGAGUGAGAACAAAAUGCCAGGUGAACGCAGCCACUGUAUCAUCUAAGACUGCCUUCCUUUGAUUCACCGAUCACCUUGCUGUCAUGUGUAUGGGAACUUUUCAUCAGGUCAAAGGAUUUGGGCUUCAAAUUCUCCAUGCAGAGUGACUUGCUUUUGUUGACCUGGCUCCUCUGUCUGAAAGCCUGGAACACUUCUCAGCCAUAUGAAGGACUAGCAUUCAGCUGAGACAUUCUCACUGGCUUCUUCAGAAGAACAUUUUGUCGACUGUGAGAUUAAUUGAAACGAGACUCCUACAACAUCAAUUUUUCUAGACUCUUUCUUCUGAUAGAGUAAUAUUGUGAUAUCGCCUGUCUAAAACAAAACCAAACUAAAAUAAACUCAGUGUCUCAAAUAUAAGCAUCUCAGUGCUUCAGGAUCUU
rnacentral:lncRNA from 1 species